GAGUAGGGGCUGGUCUGGCAUAU
rnacentral:piRNA from 1 species